rnacentral:lncRNA from 1 species
AUCUUGCUGGAGAUCCCUUCGUACUCAGGACCUUCUAAAGCUAUGAUAGGCUGAGAGAGACGGAGGGAAAGACAGGCAUGCCUGUGCCCUUGUGUUGAUGCUGACUGCUUGGAAAAGCCAUCCAGAGGGUGAGCGGAGCAUGCAAGUGCUGGAGCCAGCACCCUCAUAGGUCUGUGCUGGGAAAUGAUUAUGAUUCCUGCACUUCUGCAGCCUGGGGAAAUGCAGUGACUCAACGCGCUCAUUCUGGUGGGUGACAUCUUUGUGUUGUGAUGCGUGUAACUGCAUCAGGAAUCAAUUGAGCAUUCCCCCCAUGCGUCAGGCUGACGGGAACUCACUCAGACCAGAGUCACGCUUUGGCACAUGUGACGUCGCGUCUUUGAAGGCACUGCUCGAAAUGGUUUCGGGAAAGUGCCAGCCAACUGCGUACUGCUUGGCGAGAGGACAGUAAUGGAAACAGGGCGCGGAAACCAAGCCCUCCUACAAAAGGAAAUUCCAGGAGAUCAUCUCCAGAGCAGUGGGUCUCAUGAUCUGCUGGGAUGCACGGCCCUUUGGUCACCAUCCUGCUGUCUGGAGAAAGUCUGGUGUAAACGAUGCCCUCAGACCUUGCGUUUCCUUUAGGAGAGCUAACUUUUGCAUUUCAAACGAGAGCCUGGGGAUGAACCAGCAUGUGCAAAACAGGCACAUGCUGGUUGUGGGCUCAAGAGAAAUGUGCACUAUCUUGACAGGAUAGUCUUAGAGAACAUAGCGUCAUGAAGAGCAGGCAACUUGCAAGAGCUGAGAGGAGAGCAGGGAUUUUUGUUGCUUGCAGCAGGAGAGCCCUUUCAUGGUGCUGAAAUGUCACGUUAGGAAGCUGCACAGAAAAUGAGCAUCCUGGCAGUGGCACUGACUCUGCAGUCAUUCAUAUACCAGUGUGAUGUAUUCUUCCUCAGAAGGACAAGGACUUCAUCUGUGGAAAAAAAAGCCUGUGCACAAAUUUCAGCCGAAGGGAGGGGAAAAAAAGCCAUGCUUCCCACUUGCCUUCAUUUUUAUGGCCCAUUUGCACUCUUUUCCCAGUGUUUUCAGCAGCCGCCUCAAUCCUCCUGCAGAAAUCCCUCAGGACUGCCUGAUCCAAUACAAGGUUUACUGCAGCAGCUUUCCCAGGUGACUGACUC